ACAGGUUGAUAAUUUGUGUAAACAUGUCCAAUCAAGUCGGCUUUUUAAGGGGAGUGAUUUAGUCAUCACGUCCCCUUUGUUAAGAUAUAACCCGUAUGUUCAAGCUAGAAGCAGGAUAAAUCAACUCAAAAGGUUGGGCCACAGUGUCGAUAAGGUUGAAUUCAUCUUGAUGGGAGGCUAGUGAGCUUGUCAGAAAAGAGUAUGACUUUAAAUGUAGACUCUUUAGACAACUAGAAUCGAAGGGAGAAAGUUCCAAGAAGGUUGAUAAAACUCGAGCUGUUGUGAAGGACUUGCACUCAAGAAUCAGAGUUGCAAUUCACAGAAUUAACUCAAUAUCAAAGAAAAUUGAGGAGCUAAGAGACAAUGAGCUUCAGCCACAACUUGAGAAGUUGAUUGAAGGGUAUGUGAUG